GGCUUGGUGGUGGAUGGUCCACGUCUACUGUCCGUUAAAAGGGAAAAAAGCUUGUGUUUCAUGCAGAAGGAGCCCGUUCAAUUCGGGUCCAAGCCA